UACGUAGGUGGCAAGCGUUAUUCGGAUUCACUGGGCGUAAAGGGUGCGCAGGUGGCCAUGUGUGUGAGGCGUGAAAGCCCGGGGCUUAACCCCGGAAUUGCACCUCAAACUACAUGGCUAGAGCAUUGGAGAGGGGAGCAGAAUUCACGGUGUAGCAGUGAAAUGCGUAGAUAUCGUGAGGAAUACCAGAGGCGAAGGCGGCUCCCUGGACAAUUGCUGACACUCAGGCACGAAAAGCGUGGGGGAGCAAAAAGGG
rnacentral:rRNA from 1 species